rnacentral:rRNA from 1 species
ACGCACGCUGGCGGCGUGCUUCACACCUGCAAGUCGAACGGAAAGACCCUGCUUUUGUGGGGUGCUCGAGUGGCGAACGGGUGAGUAACACGUGAGUAACCUGCCCUUGACUUUGGGAUAACUUCAGGAAACUGGGGCUAAUACCGGAUAGGAGCUCCUGCUGCAUGGUGGGGGUUGGAAAGUUUCGGCGGUUGGGGAUGGACUCGCGGCUUAUCAGCUUGUUGGUGGGGUAGUGGCUUACCAAGGCUUUGACGGGUAGCCGGCCUGAGAGGGUGACCGGCCACAUUGGGACUGAGAUACGGCCCAGACUCCUACGGGAGGCAGCAGUGGGGAAUAUUGCACAAUGGGCGGAAGCCUGAUGCAGCAACGCCGCGUGCGGGAUGACGGCCUUCGGGUUGUAAACCGCUUUCGCCUGUGACGAAGCGUGAGUGACGGUAAUGGGUAAAGAAGCACCGGCUAACUACGUG